GCCGGGGCCGAGGCCGGGUGUAAGAUGGAAUAAAGCAGUAGUGAAAUCAUUAUGGGUAGCUGGGAGGAGUGUCAAACUUUCAGCAAUUUUGAGUCCCGUUUCACAUGGAUGGAUCAGAGCCUCAGCCUCCAUCUUUCCACAGCCUUUAAGAUUUUGCCUCAUAUGGCCUAUCUUUGGAGACUGUAGUCAGGCCAGCCUAUCUUUGGAGAAUGUGCUCUGGUGUAGUGACAUCUACCGGCAAGGCUAGGCAGGAAUGAAAAUAACCAGACGCCCACUCGUCUCCAGGACUCAAUUUCUCCUAGGUAAUCAGGAAAAUAGUAUCUACAAUCCAUCUUCAAAGUUUCUGUAGUGGGCAAGAGUGACUACAGCUUUUAAAGUUGCUCCUCAGUUCUUGCUGAGGAAAGAUAUAACCUGUUUCCUCGCUGCUUUCACCCAUGUCAUCUACACAUUCUAUUCAUAAUCUCAUUCUCUUUCUCAAUAGCAUGCAUACUUGACAAAGACUUUACCACUAGAGGUAAAAGAGAAGCCAGAGAGAGAGUGAGGAGAAACUACCAGAGAAAUCAUUAUGAAACAAAUGUUCUCCUUUCUCAAUAACAUGGACUCCACAGCUGAAUGUGGCUCAGACAAAGCAUCUGUCUCUCCAUCUUUCAAACUUAAAAGAAAAUCAUUAAGAGCUCAGUAGAGAAAUGAGUAAUGCACAGGAUUUCAUGGAAGAGGAAACAGGACUAGAAAAUAAACACAUGGAAGACUGAAGUCCAUCCUAACUAGAAAUAAGAUGAAAAGCACAUUUGAGGUGCAGUUUUCUUUCUUUUUUGUUUAAACUAAACUUGCAAAAUUUUAUUAAGUGGUAACACUCGGCUCUGGGAACAUCUUAAAACUGGUAUCCUCCCACAAAGAUAGUGACACUUUAAAUUUGGACAAUCUUUGGGGAAAAAAUAUCAAGCAAUAUAUAAGAGGUAGAAAUAAAAACAGGAGAGCUACAGAUGAAUGCAGACACUCACUGCAGCAUUAUCUGACUUAAAAGAACCUCAAUAAUCCCAAACAGAGCAUGUUAUGCCACAUUACAACAUUAUACAGCAAUUACAAUUAUAAUGACGAGGACUACAGAGAAACAAGGAGAUACUAAGAAUGUGUAAAAAAUAUGGAAUUUCAUGUAAACAAUGAGUGCAUCUAUGCAAAAUGUGUACAUAUAAUAAAACGUAUGCAUGUGGAGAAAAAUUGGAAGGCAAUAUGCAAACAAUA